AACGCACAUUGCGCCCCUUGGUAUUCCGGGGGGCAUGCCUGUCCGAGCGUCAUUAUCACCGCUCAAGCCCUGGCUUGCUGUUAGACCACGUCUCCCUCCGGGGCCGGCGGGCCUGAAAGACAGUGGUGGGCGUCGUGUCGACCCUGGAUGCAGCGAGCCUUCGUGCACGCAUCGGAGUGGUCGCGCGGCCUCGCCUCAACCGACGUAACGUCACCUCAAGGUUGACCUCGGAUCAGGUAGGGAUACCCGCUGAACUUAA
rnacentral:misc_RNA from 1 species